rnacentral:ncRNA from 1 species
AAAAAGGCAGAGAACGAAAAGAGUACCGUUUUGCAGGGAUACAGAGAGGGGAUGCCGGAGGCUGAAAGCAUCCUUAUUCCAUCGGAAGCGGGAAAGUGCAUUCGGGAGCUGGCAGUGCGAAGGUCCGGCGGGCAUGGACAGUGAGCGCUGCACGUACCAGGCGUUAACGGCAGUAAGGGGAUGCCCUGUUUGGGCGUCAAUAAGAGUGGAACCGCGGAUUACUUCGUCUCUUUU